GACGAACGCUGGCGGCGUGCUUAACACAUGCAAGUCGAACGGAGUGGCGAACGGGUGAGUAACACGUGGGUGACCUGCCUUGCACUUCGGGAUCAGCCUUGGAAACUGGGUCUAAUACCGGAUAGUGCAAGAUGAGCUUGCCACCUAUCAGCUUGUUGGUGUGGUAAUGGCCUACCAAGCCGUCGGCGGGUAGCCGGCAUGGGCGGGUGUACGGCGACAUUGGGACUGAGAUACGGACCAGAGGCCGACGGGAGGCAGCAGUCGGGAAUAUUGCACAAUGGGGGCAAGCAUGAUGCGGGGGGGAUGCGUGGGGGAUGAAGGUAUUCGGGUUGUAAACUCCUUUAGGCAGGGACGCGGUACCUGUAUAAGAAGCACCGGCUAACUACGUGCCAGCAGCCGCGGUAAUUC
rnacentral:rRNA from 1 species